rnacentral:rRNA from 1 species
GGUCAAGCUACUAAGGGCGCAUGGUGGAUGCCUUGGCAGAAGCAGGCGAUGAAGGUCGUGGCAAGCUGCGAUAAGCCUCGGGGAGCCGCAAGCAGGCAUUGAUCCGGGGAUGACCGAAUGGGGAAACCCUAUACCGUAAAACGGUAUAACGGCCCGAUGAAUACAUAGUCGGGUUCGAGCGAACUCAGGGAAGUGAACCAUCUCCGUACCUGAAGGAAAAGAAAACAACAGUGAUUCCGAGAGUAGUGGCGAGCGAAAUCGGAACAGCCCAAACCAGUCCCACCUUCGGGUGUGACCGGGGUUGUAGGGUCCGCAACAGUAGAGUUACCAAUCCAGUCGUUAGUCGAAGUUCCCUGGAAAGGGAAGCCAUAG